UGGGGGAUAUCGUACAAUGGGCGAAAGCCUGAUGCAGCAACGCCGCGUGAGGGAAGACGGUCUUCGGAUUGUAAACCUUUAGCUUUGGGGAAGAAACAAAUGACGGUACCCAAAGGGGCAGCCACGGCUAACUACGUGCCAGCAGCCGCGGUAAUACGUAGGUGGCAAGCGUUGUCCGGAAUUACUGGGUGUAAAGGGAGCGCAGGCGGGGAGACAAGUCAGCUGUGAAAACUAUGGGCUUAACCCAUAGAUUGCAGUUGAAACUGUUUGUC
rnacentral:rRNA from 1 species